rnacentral:rRNA from 1 species
CAUCUAAGUGUGAAACUCGCCUUGAGAUGAGAUUUCCCAUUUCCUUCGGGAAAGUAAGACCCCUCAGAGAUGAUGAGGUAGAUAGGAUGGAAGUGGAAGUGCCGUGAGGCAUGGAGCGGACCAUUACUAAUCGGUCGAGGACUUAACCAAG